UACGGGGGGGGCAAGCGUUGUUCGGAAUUACUGGGCGUAAAGGGCGCGUAGGCGGUUCGUACAGUCAAACGUGAAAUUCCUGGGCUCAACCUGGGGGCUGCGUUUGAUACGUGCGGACUUGAGUGCGGAAGAGGGUCGUGGAAUUCCCAGUGUAGAGGUGAAAUUCGUAGAUAUUGGGAAGAACACCGGUGGCGAAGGCGGCGACCUGGUCCGAUACUGACGCUGAGGCGCGAAAGCGUGGGGAGCAAACAGG
rnacentral:rRNA from 1 species